CUGGAUAUAAUAUUUUAUACCGGAAAUGCGGCUUGAAAAAACAACAACAACAACAAAUUACAGAACAUGGCGCAUAUCUUUCAUUGUAAAACGUGGCGAAAAAAGAGCGAAUAUCUACAAAUCCAAGAAAAAAAUGCGUAAAAAUGUUCCAUAACAAUACGAAUCAAGCUGGCUGAUUAUCCGGCUGUUAGCCGAGGCUUGUUUUAUUCAGCACACAUAAAGCUUCUGUACGUUACCUGCCAACUCUAAAGCCGUUUUUAGACAUGAACGCCGGAAAAUGUCCGGGAAAUUGAGGUCCGGAUAUUUUCCUGAGUCUGCCGCUCUCAUGUCAGGACGGCGGCACGAGCUCGUCCCGAUCGGAUGCGUUCAGGAACAUUUCCGGAACAUUUCCGGAACACUCGUGCGAGGGGUGGCACCAGGUUGGCGCAUGGGUAGAGCGCACAGAUCUUCUUGCUGCCGUGACAUUUUCUGGAAACUCUACUUGUGCACUGGUAGGAAAAGUUCCGCAGACAUAUUUGCUUUAAACGCGGGCAUGCCCCACUGACCUGAGUGCAAUGUCCUGAGGCCGGGCCCUCUCCACACGCAGCGGCAGCGGCAGCAGUGUUCGUCCCUCCGCGCGGCCUCGCAGAGUCACCGCCCGGCUCCUCAGCUUCUCCAGGUGCCGGUGGAUGUCAUCGGACACCACCCGCGGCCAGUCCUCACGGUCCAGACCGCUGGACAGCACACACAGCAGCACCUGUGUGUGUGUGUGUGUGUGUGCGCGCGCAGUGGUCACUCUUACUGUUUUCAAACGGACUGUGGACACACUGCAUCACACAUACUGGCACAAUUCAAAAUACCCCUUUGCCUUGCCAGGAAAUACUCUAAAUUGGAAACCUCAUAGCCUCUGUCAUGCACAGAGACAUCAUGCCACCUGCAUAACUGCGACACAGAAGGCCUGCUCGCGAAGGAAGUCCACCCUCUCAUCUGUCAACACCACGCCGGCUUUGAGAGAGGGCUCUUGGGGUAGACGCACUCCUCCAGCCCUGCCACUGCCUAAUGCACCACGGUUACUGCUGCCGCUGCGCGCCUCAGCCAUGGGGACUCAGCUGGUGAGAGAAAGAAAUAAAGGCUUUACUCGGCGGGUCAGGGACUGUGAAACCAGAGAAUGGAAUCAUGCAGCGUGCGAUCAAGGCUCUGAGGACUACCUGCUAGAAAACUGAUACACACCUGAUGGACAGGUUAACCUGUCACCGUGACAACAGACUGUCGGCUCACUUCAAUACCCUGCACCGGCCCAGGCUAUAGUCUGUGGGGCCUGCAACUCUAUCCUGUAACCAGAGCCUCCAGAGGAGAUCUUACUAUAGCAUCACCUGCAGGACAGUGAAGCUGUAGUUGGAGUCCGGCUGCAGGUCGGUGACCAGCACGGUGGCAGAAGAGAGACCGAACUGCCUGGGGACAAAAUGGACGCUGCUACCACAUGGAGUGCACUUCUUGCCGUCGCCG